GCCUGCACCCCAACCUGGGCCUGGAUGAAACUGCAACAUAGAUUGGGAAACUGAGAUAAAGCAGGAGGAAGUAGCUGGUCUCAGCAAGUAAACACAGUUCCACUGACCACAGGACAGCAAGUUGGAUUUCUGCCCAAGAUGUCAACAUGCAUCGCCUGGCUCCCCACUCCCUCGCCCUGUCCCCAGCUGUGUUUUCUUUGGAUUUCUGCAUGGCUUGGAGAAGCUGCGUCAGCCCAUCUCCCAUCCUGACCUUUCUCCCACCCCCAACACCCACCCUGGCCAUCCCUCAGGAAGUGACCUCCACCCUCUCCCUCUGCCUGAGCCCAUGAGCAUUGCAAUGCAUGUACCUGUAUUGGUCAGCAUGGGUGAGCCUGGGCAUCUGUAAUAGGAGAUCCAGUUAGAACUAGGGGCGGAGUGUGUGUGGGGAGGGGGCAGAUUCGGACCAGGAGAUUCUAUCUCCCAAACAGGUGGAAUGACCACUUGUUUCAAGAAAGCAAAGCAGCUGGACAGAACUGUCCCCUUGGGGGGGGGGGGGCAGACAUUUACCAAAUGGAGAGAUGGGAAAUAAAGGGCUAUGGCUUUCUGAGUUCGGUUCGGAGCUGUUGACAGCUUUCUGUGGCGUCUAAACCUUGGAGACCUGGUCUUUUGCCUUCUCCCAUUUCCCAUUUGCCUUUUCCCAUUUCCUCCUUGCAGAUCAGUUCCUCUUUUCUGUCGAAGGAGACAGCCACCUGGUCCCCGAAGGCCCUUCCAGGGCCUUCCUAACGACUGCAAGAAGCACCCAACACAUUCCAGCAUCUUGAAAAUUUUUCCAUGAGGCUCUAAUACUACACAGAUGCUGACAUAAACAGACUUUGAUCUGACAAGGACUGCCAGCCCUCCAUGCAGGAAUCAUGAGGACACCUUAGCCCUCCAGUUUCCCUCCUCUCUUCACCCAGCUAGAUCCAUAAUUCAUCACCCCCUCCCACCCCACCCUCAGUACUAACUUCUGCUCCUCUCUGUUUUCUCCAUCUCAGAUCAUGGCACACCCUCCACCCAGAUGCUCGAUUGAGUCAAAAACAAUAAGAGUCAUGUUUAACUCCUUUUUUCUUUCUACCACGUCAGUAAAUAAUUGUGUCUCCACCUCCCAAAGAUGUCCCACAUCUAUACUUUCUCUCCCAUUUGCACCAACACUAGCGCAGUGGUCGGCAAACUCAUUAGUCAACAGAGCCAAAUAUCAACAGUACGAUUGAAAUUUCUUUUGA